UUCACAUCUUGCAACAGAACUGAUGAGAAAGAAAUGAGUUCAUUAAAAACCCAGGGAAGGAAUGAUGCCAUCCUCACCUACUGAGGCCAGGUUCCGGAAGGUCUCCAGCAUCACAUCUCUGUAGAGGUCCCUCUGAGCAGAAUCCAGCAAAGCCCACUCCUCCAGGGUGAAGUCCACAGCCACAUCCUCAAAGACCACUGAGUCCUAAGACAAACCACACAGGUGUGCAGGAGGAUUGGCGACACUGAAAGUACUGGGGAACUGGACUCAAUUCAUAAAUUCAAACAAGAUUCUGUGGUGUCCCAACACCUCCUCUAUGACGCGAAUCUUAGAUCUUUUACUUAUUCACAAUCACUUCCUAGUAAACUUCUUAGCACCACUAUCAGUCUGAACUUCUCUCUGCCUUUUUACUGCGACUGCUCUUAUUUUCCUCUACCAGGAGGGUCUAGAGAAAUGCUAUGCAAAUGAAGUAACUUUUCCAUUUGAAACGUUGCAUAACGCAGCAGGCCUCGGUUGUCCAAACGAUGCACGUUUCACAGGUCUUUCGGACAAGCCUUCCAUCAGCUACUGGAGAAAAUGGAUUCUGUGACUGUAAAAACCAAUGGCCGGGCGCGGCGGCUCACACCUGUCAUCCCAGCACUUUGGGAGGCCGAGGAGGGCGGAUCACGAGGUCAGGAGGUCGAGAUCAUCCUAGCUAUCUCUACUAAAAAUGCAAAAAAUUAGCCGGGCGUGGUGACAGGUGCCUGUAGUCCCAGCUACUGGGGAGGCGGAGCUUGGAGUGCGCGCUACUGCACUCCAGCCUGGGCGACAGAGCAAGACUCCGUCUCAAAAAAAAAAAAAAAAAAAAACAACAACAACAACAAUGAAAUGUGCACGUUAAAUGGCUGUACAUUCUAUAUGUCAGUAAAGCUGGUUUUUAAACAACAUAAAGAAUGUGAAGUUCACUGUCUUCCUCAAAAACAUGAUACACAGAAUGAAGCCGCCCAUGACCUCACCUCUAGUCAACGUUAUGCUAGUUCCAGCACCACCAGGAAAUAUACAAGAAUUAUAAAACAUAAACUUGUCUUUAUGCACAUUUCUAAGAAUUAU
rnacentral:lncRNA from 1 species